rnacentral:rRNA from 1 species
AACGAACGCUGGCGGCAUGCCUAACACAUGCAAGUCGAACGAGACCUUCGGGUCUAGUUGCGCACGGGUGCGUAACGCGGGGGAACCUGCCCUUAGGUUCGGAAUAACUCCCCGAAAGGGGUGCUAAUACCGGAUAAUGUCUUCGGACCAAAGAUUUAUCGCCUUUGGAUGGGCCCGCGUUGGAUUGGCUAGUUGGUAGGGUAAAAGCCUACCAAGGCGACGAUCCAUAGCUGGUCUGGGAGGAUGAUCAGCCACACUGGGACUAAGACACGGCCCAGACUCCUACGGGAGGGAGCAGAAGGGAAUAUUGGGCAAGGGGCGAAAGCCUGAUACAGCAAUGCCGCGUGAGUGAUGAAGGCCUUAGGGUUGUAAAGCUCUUUUAGCCGGGAUGAUAAUGACAGUACCGGGAGAAUAAGCACCGGCUAACUCCGUG